rnacentral:rRNA from 14 species
CCGGGUGCCGAUACUGGGGCGGGAAACACCCGGUUCCAUUCCGAACCCGGCCGUUAAGCCGCCCUGGGCCGAUGGUAGUAUGGGGGCAGCCCCAUGCGAGAGUAGGUAGCGCCCGGG